rnacentral:rRNA from 1 species
ACCCGCACAAGCGGUGGAUGAUGUGGUUUAAUUCGAUGCAACGCGAAAACCUUACCACCUUUGACAUGUACGGAACCCUUUAGAGAUAGAGGGGUGCUCGAAAGAGAGCCGUAACACAGGUGCUGCAUGGCUGUCGUCAGCUCGUGUCGUGAGAUGUUGGGUUAAGUCCCGCAACGAGCGCAACCCUUGUCAUUAGUUGCUACAUUCAGUUGGGCACUCUAAUGAGACUGCCGGUGACAAGCCGGAGGAAGGUGGGGAUGACGUCAAGUCCUCAUGGCCCUUAUAGGUGGGGCUACACACGUCAUACAAUGGCUGGUACAAAGGGUUGCCAACCCGCGAGGGGGAGCCAAUCCCAUAAAGCCAGUCGUAGUCCGGAUCGUAGUCUGCAACUCGACUACGUGAAGUCGGAAUCGCUAGUAAUCGUGGAUCAGAAUGUCACGGUGAAUACGUUCCCGGGUCUU